GCGGGUUCCGUGGUAUUUUAUAUUUGUCUUCUUACCAAACAGGGCUGGGAAAGGUAUGAGGGAGGGAAUGGAGAGGGUGGGCAUGCUGUGGAUACUGGCAUAUCCUCUCCCAGCCCUGGGAAGAGGGCUCUCCUAACAGUGUAACUUAUUGUGUCCCCACGUAUUUAUUUGUUGUAAAUAUUUGAAUAUUUUUAUAUUGACAAAUAAAAUGGAGAAAGUAAAGCUGUGACAGGGAUAAGACAUUUGG
rnacentral:lncRNA from 1 species